rnacentral:lncRNA from 1 species
GCUCUCGGCCGUCGCUGCCCAACGAGCUUCGAUAAACUGCUCUUUUACUGACACUCUGCAGGGCCCAUCCGAAAGAGAAAAUGGGGGGAGAACCCAGGACUCUGGCGUUCUGUUCUCCUAAUAAACUGAGGUUACGAUUGCAAGGUGUACGUAUGUGGGCGGUUGGACCAAUGCUGCCAUCUCGUGGCUGAAACCCCCAACAUACCGCUGCCUGCCUUAAGACCGCGCUGUGGUUUGAGGUGGUUUUAGGCGCGGGCCGCAGACGGGUGAAGCAAAGGAAGAUUUAAUUUGUCAGCCCAGUUAGACCUCCCCAGAUUCCCUGGUUUACUGAAUGGGGCAGGACUUAUGAAAACUAUAGAGAUGUGCAAAAGAACAACCAUCCUUCUCUCUGCUACUAUGAAUUUUGACUUUUUAAGAUUCUACAUGUAAAUGAUAUAAUGACAGCACCCCUGGACAUAGAGAAGUUCUCAGGCCAGGGGUGGAAUCUCUAGCCGCCGGCCUGCACCACAACCACAGCAACUCCAGAUCCAAGCCACAUCUGCGACCUACACCACAGCUCACAGCAACACCAGGUCCUUAACCCACUGAGUGAGGCCAGGGAUCAUACCUGAAUCCCCAUGGAUAUUAGUCGGGUUUGUUACUGCUGAGACAUGAUGGAACGCCCACCAUUUCUUUUUUUAAGUUAAAGUUUUGAUUUUAUGUUUAUCUUUUAUUAUAAAAACUCAUUAUAGAGUUUUAUUUUUUUCCACUAUAGCUGGUUUACAGUGUUCUGUCAAUUUUCUCCUGCAUAGCAAGGUGACCCAGUCACACAUACAUGUAUACAUUCUUUUUUCUUACAUUACCAUGCUCCAUUACAAGUGACCAGACACAGUUCCCAGUGCUAUACAGCGGGAUCCCAUUGCUUAUCCAUUCCAAAGGCAGUAGUUUGCAUCUAUUAAACCCAAAUUCCCAGUCCAUCCCACUCCCUCCCCCUCCCUCUUGGCAACCAGAAGUUUGUUCUUCUUGUCCAUGGUUUUCUUUUCUGUGGAAAGAUUCAUUUGUGCCAUAUAUUAGAUUCCAGAUAUAAGUGAUAUCAUAUGGUAUUUGUCUUUCUUUUUCUGACUUACUUCACUCAGUAUGAGUCUCUAGUUCCAUCCAUGUUGCUGCAAAUAGCAUUAUUUUUUUCUUUUUUUUUAUGUCUGAAUAGUACUCCAUUGUGUAUAUAUACCACAUCUUCUUAAUCCAAUCCUCUGUCAAUGGACAUUUAGGUUGUUUCCAUGCCUUGGCUAUUGUGAAUAGUGCUGCAAUGAACAUGUGGGUGCAAGUGUCUUUUUCAAGGGAAGUUUUGUCCGAGUAUAUGUCCAAGAGUGGGGUUGCUGAGUCAUAUGAUAGUUCUAUGUAUAGUUUUCUAAGGUACCUCCAUACUGUUCUCCAUAGUGGCUGUACCAGCUUACAUUCCCAUCGACAGUGCAGGAAGGUUCCCUUUUCUCCACACCCUCUCCAGCAUUUGUUAUCUGUGGCCCUUCUGACUGGUGUGAGUGACUUUAUGUUUAAAAGUUAACACAUCUUGAGUUUUCUGAGCCAACAAGCAUGUUCUCUAACACCAUAUUCUACAAGUGGAUAUUGAAAUAAAUUUUAGCUAAAAUAUAUCAACAGAAGAAUUCCUACUAUUCCUUAAAUACAUUUUUGGUUUUUAACAUUCAGUUAAUUUAAAUUCUUCUAGUACUUACAUUGAAUUAUGGUGGUUUUUUCCCCCCUUUUCCCCAGCAGUUACUGAAAUAUACUUGACAUAUAAUAUUGUACUACUUUUAGUUGUACACAUAGCGAUUUCAUAUUUGUAUACAUAGCCAAAUUAUUACCAUAAUAAAUUUAGUUAACACUCAUACCCUCACAUAGUUAAUAAUUCUUUUUCUUGUGAUAAUAACUUUUAAGAUCUACUCUCCUAGCUAAUUACAAAUAUACAACAUUGUUAACCAUACUCACCAUGCUAUACAUUACAUCCCUAGAAUUUAUCUUAUGACUGGAAGUUUGUACCUUUUGCUUACCUUCACCCAUUUUGCCUCUCACCCCCAAACCCCACCUCUGGCAACUACCAAUACGUAUCUAUGAGUUUGGGUUUUCAUUUUUGUUUUUUUUUGUUUUUUGUCUUUUUAGGGCCGAAUCUGUGGUAUAUGCAGCUUCCCAGGCUAUGAGUUGAGUUGAAGCUGUAGCUGCCAGCCGAGCAGUGUCUGCCAUCUAUACCACAGCUUACUGAGCCACAAUGGGAACUCCAAGUUUGGGGUUUUGUUUUUUUUAAGAUUCCAUGUAUAGAUGAGAUCAUACAGGGUUUGUCUUUCUCUUUCUGACUUAUUUCACAUAAUGCCUUCAGGGUCCAUCUGUCAUUGCAAAUGGCAGGAUUUCUUUUAUUUAGAAAUAAUUUUAUUGAAAUAUAGUUGUUUCACAACAUUGUUCCUUCAUUUUUAUGGCUGAAUUUCCUCUGAUAUAUAUUGAUAUACUGAUGUCAUAUUUUCUUUAUCCGUUCAUCCAUCAAUGGACAUUUGGGUUGAUUCCAUAUGUUGGCUGUUGUAAAUCAUCCUGCAAUGAACAUGAAGGUGCAGAUAGGUAUCUUUUUGAGAUAGUGGUUUUUCUUUCUUUUGAAUAUAUACAUAGAAGUAGGAUUGCCGGAUUAUAUGGCAGUUUUCAAUUUUUUGAUGAACCUCCAUACUGUUCUCCAUAGUGGCUAUGCCAGUUUACAUUCCCACCUACAGUGAACAAGGGUUCCUUUUUCUCCACAUCCCCACCAACUUUUGUUAUUUCUGGGUUUUUUUUUUGAUGAUAGGCAUUGUAAGGUGAUAUCUCAUUGUGUGUGAGUGUGUGUGUGUGUGUGUGUGUGUGUGUGUGUGUGUGUGUGUGUUUGGCCAUGCCUAAGGCAUAUGGAGAUUCUCUGGGUCAGGAAUUGAACCCAUGCCAAAGCAGUGACCUGAGCCAUAGCCAUGACAGUGCUCCAUCCUUAACCACCAGGCUACCAGGGAACUCCCCCACCUAUAUUUUUUCUUCUAGGAGUUUUAUGGUGUCUAGUCUUACAUUUAGGUCUUUAAUCCAUUUUGAGUUUAUUUUUAUAUAUGGUGUUAGAGAAUGUUCUAGUUUCAUUCUUGUACAAGUAACUGUCCAGUUUUCCUAGUACCACUUAUUGAAUAGAAUAUAUUUUCUCCAUUGUAUAUUCUUGCCUCCUUUGUCAUGGAUUAAUUAACCAUAAGUGUGGAUUUAUUUUGGGGCUUUCUUUUCUUUUCCAUUGAUCUAUGUGUCUGUUGGAAGCACAACUGAUUAUUGUGUAUUGAUUUUGAAUACUCCAAAUUUACUGGAUUUAUUAGUUGUAAGAGUUUGUGCAUGUGUGCGUGUGUGUGCAGUCUUUAGAGUUUUCUUCCUGUAGGAUCAUGCCAUCUGCAAACAGUGAGAACUGUCCUUCUUCCUUUUAGAUUUGGAUUUCUUUUUUGUGGGGGCUCUGAUUGCUGUUUACAAUAUUUCUAGUACAAUGUUGAAUAGAAGUGGCAAGAGUGGACAUCCUUGUCUUGUACUGAAUCUUAGGAAAAAAUUAUCAGUUUUUCUGCAUUGAUUAUGAUUUAGCUGUGACUUUUCAUAAAUGGUCUCUGUUAUGUUGAGAAAGUUUCCUUUUGUACCUAUUUUGUUGAGAAUUUAUAUCACAAAUAAAUGUUGAAUGUUGUCAAA